AAGCGCUUGUAGCCAGACAUGGUGGUAGUUGUUCUCUUCUAUCAACAGGCCAGCAUCAGUCUAGGCGGUUGGAUAAAGGCCUCUGUCAAGUAUCUCCCUUUGGGGUGACCUUAUAGGGGAGGUGUAAUGCAUCCAGUCUAGAUUGAGGUCCGCGCACAUGCUAGGAUGCUGGCGUAAUGGCUGUAAGCGG
rnacentral:rRNA from 1 species